UGCAAGUCGAACGAGAACGGAACUAGCUUGCUAGUUUGUCAGCUAAGUGGCGCACGGGUGAGUAAUAUAUAGUUAAUCUGCCCCAAAGAAGAGAAUAAUUGUUGGAAACGACUUGUAAUGCUCUAUAUGCCUUUAUUACAUAAGUAAGCAAGGGAAACAUUUAUGGCUUUGGGAUGAGACUGUACGGUAUCAGCUAGUUGGUGAGGUAAUGGCUCACCAAGGCUAUGACAUCUAACUGGUUUGAGAGGAUGAUCAGUCACACUGGAACUGAGACACGGUCCAGACUCCUACGGGAGGCAGCAGUGGGGAAUAUUGCACAAUGGAGGAAACUCUGAUGCAGCAACGCCGCGUGGAGGACGACACAUUUCGGUGCGUAAACUCCUUUUAUAUGAGAAGAUAAUGACGGUAUCAUAUGAAUAAGCACCGGCUAACUCCGUGCCAGCAGCCGCGGUAAUACGGGGGGUGCAAGCGUUACUCGGAAUCACUGGGCGUAAAGAGAAUGUAGGCUGGUUAUUAAGUUGGAAGUGAAAUCCUAUG
rnacentral:rRNA from 1 species